GCGCGAAACCUCCGCAAUGCGAGCAAUCGCGACGGGGGAAACCCAAGUGCCACUCUUAACGGGGUGGCUUUUCUGAAGUGUAAAAAGCUUCAGGAAUAAGAGCUGGGCAAGACCGGUGC
rnacentral:rRNA from 1 species